GAUGAACGCUGGCUACAGGCUUAACACAUGCAAGUCGAGGGGAAACGACGGGGAAGCUCGCUUCCCCGGGCGUCGACCGGCGCACGGGUGAGUAACGCGUAUCCAACCUGCCUCUGACUGAGGGAUAACCCGUCGAAAGUCGGCCUAAUACCUCAUGGCAUCGUCUGCGGGCAUCCAACGACGAUUAAAGAUUUCAUCGGUCAGGGAUGGGGAUGCGUCUGAUUAGCUAGUUGGCGGGGUAACGGCCCACCAAGGCGACGAUCAGUAGGGGUUCUGAGAGGAAGGUCCCCCACAUUGGAACUGAGACACGGUCCAAACUCCUACGGGAGGCAGCAGUGAGGAAUAUUGGUCAAUGGGCGAGAGCCUGAACCAGCCAAGUAGCGUGCAGGAUGACGGCCCUAUGGGUUGUAAACUGCUUUUAUGCGGGGAUAAAGUGAGGGACGUGUCCUUCAUUGCAGGUACCGCAUGAAUAAGGACCGGCUAAUUCCGUG
rnacentral:rRNA from 1 species